UGCAAGAUGUAUAUCAAAGCAUAAUUGUGUGGUUGUGUAUUUAUAUCAAAUUGUAUUCCCAUUAUUUCAUCACCAUUCUACACUUCCACAUGGCACAUUGUUAUCAGCUUAAGUAAGCAAUGUAGGUCACACCUACUAGGACUUAGCAGUUGUGGGUUACAGGCAGGACAGUUCCUUGUUGAUACAUGAAUGAAUGACAUCAUGUCAUGUUAAUGCCACAAUAGCGUAGCAUGUUGGUGUAGAGAGGUUAGGUUACAUUUGACGGGAUUUAAUGGAAUGGAAAAUUAUCAACAGUGUAAUAGGAUAAGGAAUAGAAUGCAGCAAAAUGUAAUAAUAAAAAAUGAAAAUAAUUAGCUCAAUCACAAUUUCCACUUCCAUAUAAAAGUGUGGCAGCAGCAACAGUGGCAGCAGUAAUAUCAGCCAUAUUGACAAUAAUGGAGCUACUGGCACUAUGGAAGAAAUGGUGGUAACUAACCACCAAGCAUAUCCUCAAUGUGGUAAUAUAACUACUCAUGAUGAUCCCUCCUCUGCUCCGUGAACAUAAGCUCCUCAACUGGGGGGAAAAAGAUUUGAACUCUCACUUACAAGCUUUGGAUAUCAAUGCAUACUUGGUGAAUAAUAGAGCUGAAUGGCAAAAAAGGA
rnacentral:misc_RNA from 1 species